GGAUACAGGUGGUGCGAUGGUUGUCGUCAGCUCGUGUCGUGAGAUGUUGGGUUAAGUCCCGCAACGAGCGCAACCCUUGUCUUCAGUUACCAUCAUUCAGUUGGGGACUCUGGAGAGACUGCCGGUGACAAACCGGAGGAAGGUGGGGAUGACGUCAAAUCAUCAUGCCCCUUAUGACCUGGGCUACACACGUACUACAAUGGCGUAUACAACGGGAAGCGAAAUGGUGACAUGGAGCAAAUCUCACAAAGUACGCCUCAGUUCAGAUUGCAGUCUGCAACUCGACUGCAUGAAGUCGGAAUCGCUAGUAAUCGCAGGUCAGCAAAACUGCGGUGAAUACGUUCCCGGGCCUU
rnacentral:rRNA from 1 species